AAAGCGCGCGUAGGUGGUUUGUUAAGUUGGAUGUGAAAUCCCCGGGCUCAACCUGGGAACUGCAUUCAAAACUGACAAGCUAGAGUAUGGUAGAGGGUGGUGGAAUUUCCUGUGUAGCGGUGAAAUGCGUAGAUAUAGGAAGGAACACCAGUGGCGAAGGCGACCACCUGGACUGAUACUUACACUGAGGUGCGAAAGCGUGGGGAGCAAACAGGAUUAGAUACCCGUGU
rnacentral:rRNA from 1 species